CGUGACCUCCGCUCGCUGGCUCAGUCGCUGCUCCCGUUUGCUCGUCUCCCUCGCCGCCCAGCCCACUCCGCCGCAGGAAAAAUUCUUCCCCCCUCUUCUCUUCGCCGCCCGCCCCUUCUCUGGAACUUUCUAGAACCCCCAGGGGUCCGCCAUGGAGCCCAGGAGGCGGGAGCGCCAGGUCAUCGCCGUCGCAGGCGCGGCGGCGCUCGUUGCCGUCGGCCUCAACAUCGCCUUCUCCGCCGUAGCCGCCCACCGCCGGAGGAAGCGACAAGAGCUUCCAGGGUUUACUGCUCAAGUCAACUUGUCACCAGCUGAGAUUAAAAAGUUAGCUGACCGUAUCAUCGCUAAGGCGAAGGAAACAUAUGAUUCAGUGGCUGCAGUGCCCCUAGAUAAAGUCAGUUUUGCAAAUGUUGUUGCACCACUGGCAGAGUUAGAUGCGCUGCAAUUUCCUCUGGUUCAAGCUUGUGUUCUCCCAAGGAUGGUAUCAACAUCUGAGGAUGUUCGGAAAGCCAGUGCUGAAGCUGAGAAACGAUUGGAUUCUCACUUUGUGUUGUGCAGGCAGCGUGAGGAUGUGUAUCGCGUAAUUAAAGCAUUCGCAGUGAAAGGUGAAAGAAUAGGUCCUGAAGCAACAAGAUUUCUCCAGUGCUUGGUGAAAGAGUUUGAGCGCAAUGGAGUAAAACUAUCGCAGAGCAAGGGAAAAGAAAUGGAGAAAUUGAAAUGCCAUAUAGAUGAAUUGAACUUGAAGUAUCUCCAAAAUCUGAAUGAUUUCACCAAAUUCCUCCUUUUAAGCGAGGAUGAGCUAGCUGGAAUGCCCUUUGAGUUCCUAAAGGAUCUGGAAAAGGCUGAAGGGAAGCUGAAGGUUCCGUUAACUAGUUACCAUGUUACUCCAAUUCUCGAGCACUGCAAGGUUGGCUCUACCAGGAAGCAGGUUGCUGUUGCUUAUGGACAGAAAGGUGGGAAGGAUAAUCUAGCCAUCCUAGAAAAUUUGGUUCAGCUAAGACACAAGUUUGCAAGAUUGCUGGGGUAUGCCAACUAUGCUGAUUUUGCUAUUGAGCCCAGAAUGCCAAGGACAUCAAGGAAGGUCUUAGAGUUUUUGGAAGAGAUAUCAGAACAGUUAAGUGAUGUAGCUAAUAGAGAGCUCAGCAUACUCAAAGACCUUAAGAUGAAGGAGGAAGGAAAUGCUCAUGUCGGCAUGGAAGAUUUGUUGUACUACAUCAAAAGAGCUGAAGAAUUCAAGGUUGAUCUUGACAUUGGUGAAAUUAAACAAUACUUUCCUGUUAGCCUGGUCAUAUCUGGAAUGUUGAAGAUGUUUCAGGAUCUAUUCGCACUACGAUUUGAUGAAACUAAGGAUGCUGAAGUUUGGCAUGAUACAGUUCGUGUGUUUUCUGUCUGGGAUGCAAGUUCAAGUGAUCUCUUGGGUUAUUUUUUUCUCGAUAUCUUUGCGAGGGAAGGAAAGUAUUGCCACACUUGUGUUGUGACACUUCAAAAUGGAUGCUUGUGUUCUAAUGGUACACGUAAGGUUCCGGCUGCUGUGCUAUUAUCUCAAUGUCCAAAAGAGUUUGAUGGGAAUUCAGCAUUGCUGCGGUUCCCUGAAGUUGUCAGGCUAUUCCAUGAAUUUAGCCAUGUGGUCCAUCACAUAUCCAACAGAGUCACCUUUUCAAAAUUUUCAGCUCUCCGACUGGAGGGUGACUUCGCUGAAAUUCCAAGCCUGCUACUCGAGAACUGGUGCUACGAGAGCAUUUCUCUGAAAAUGAUGUCCGGCUUCCAUCAGAAGAUUGAAGCAUUUCCAUGGGUAAAAGCAAUAUUUCCGACCUUGCAUGCGUGAAGAAUUCUUAGUUAUACUAAGACAUUACGAAAUCCAUAACUAGUGAAGCUUGCCAAUCUCUGAAAAGGAGGCGUGAUUUAUUUGCAGGCCUGAAAAUGAAACAGGAGAUCCUUUUGUGCCUUGUUGAUCAGAUAAUACAUUCAAGUGAGAAUGUGGAUAUUGAUAACUUAAUCAAGGAGCUUCAUCCCAAGGUAAUGUUGGGUAUACCUUUAUUGGAAGGGACCAGUCCAGCUUCGUGCUUUCCUCGUAUUGCUAUUGGCGAUGAUGCUGUGUGCUACAGUUACAUAUGGAGUGAGGUUUUUGCUGCUGACCUUUUUGUAUCAAAAUUUAAAGACGACUUGCUCAAUCAGCAUGCAGGAUUGCGAUUCAGAAAUAAGGUGUUGGCUCCAGGAGGCUCAAAAGAUUCACUGGAGAUUAUAACUGACUACCUAGGAAGAGAACCAUCCCUCCAAUCUUUUAUUCAGAGCAGAACAAGGAACAGUUUGUGAGAUAUCGUGUAUAAUGUAACCAUUAGAGUUUUUUUAUUACUGUGACCAUUGAAGAUCUGAUGACUGUUGAGUUCUUUUUUGCGUGACAGACUAUUAAGUAUAUGAUCAGUGUGCAAUUCUGAUACCUGACAUCAUUCGUUGACCCUUUA